rnacentral:ncRNA from 1 species
UGUUUUCUAAAUAGGAGAGCGAAUCCGCCGAAUUUAAGCAUAUAAUUAAGCGGAAGAAAAGAAAAUAACAAUGAUUCCUUUAGUAACGGCGAGUGAACAAGGAAUAGCUCAAGCGGAUAAUCUGUGUGUCUUUUCCUUUUUAAAAGGUUGAGCGCAAAGAAUUGUCGUGUCAAAAUACUAUAGUAACCUUCCGGUAGCCGUAAAGAUAAAGCAUAUGUUACGAAGCGAGGUGGAAUGCCUCUCCCAAAGAGGGUGAAAGGCCCGUAGGAACAUAUGGUUUAGCGUUACUGGGAAACCUCUAUAAGUAAUGAGUCGUGUUCUUUGAGAUUGGAGCACAAAUGCGUGUGAUACAUUUCACAUAAAGCUAAAUAUGUGUAGGAGACCGAUAGCAAACAAGUACCGUGAGGGAAAGAUGAAAUAGUACUCAGGAAUGAGCAAUUAAAAAGUACCUGAAAUCGUUAAGGUGGAACGGAUUAAGAGAGAAAAAAAGUAAUGCAGUCAACGUUAAUAUUGCAGCUAUAUCAGACGCUUAACUGCUUUAUUAAAAGAAACAUCAGUAAAAAGUUUACAGAUCUAUUCGGAUAAAACUGUUGAUGAAAAGCAUUUAAUUUUAUCUCAGGAUAAAAUUAAUAGUACUUUUCACAUUAUCCUUGAUUUAAAAAAAGGAUAAAGAGUUUUAUAGAAGUCACGAAACAAAAAUAAGUGAUAGAUAGUCCAUUUUACUGAGGUAUACAAUACAAAUGUGUAUUUCGCUUGUAACGAAUAUUCGUAAAGAAUAUUCCUUACAGCUGCGCAUUUUAAGUUGUUUCUAACGAAUACUCUUUUAACCCACUCGUCUUGAAACACGGACCAAGGAGUCUAGCAAAUGUGCGAGUGUAUAUGAUAUAUUAAACAUUAAGGUACGUGAGGAACGUGCUUAUACGCAGAAUUAAUGUAAUAUAUUAUUCUUUGUAGAAUUAGGUGAUAAUUGCGAAAUUAUCUCUAACGCAUACAAUACCGGUUGGCAAUUUACGCCAUAUUGAGUAAGAGCAUAUUUGGUAGGACCCGAGAGGCUUUGAACUAAGCGUGGUGAGAUUGAAGUCAGACGAAAGUCUGAUGGAGGAUCGAAUUGAUACUGACGUGCAAAUCGUUCAUUUCAGUCACGUUUAGGGGCGAAAGACUAAUCGAAAAGCCUAUUAGCUGGUUAUUUUCGAAAGAUCUCUCAGGAUCGCUGGAGUUGAUUAAUAUAAUUUUACCAGGUAGAGAUAAUGAUUAGAGGACUCAGGGAAUUGAAUUUCCUUGACCUAUUCUCAAACUCCCAAUAGGUAAAAAGGGCUAAAAUAUCUUUAUUUGUAUUUUGCUCAUUAUUAAAUAAGAUAACUCCAAGUGGGCCAUUUUUGGUAAGCAGAACUGGCGAUGAGGGAUGCUCCUAACGCUUGGAUAAGGUGCCUAAAUAUUCGCUCAUCAGAUCCCAUAAAAGGUGUUGGUUCAUAAUGACAGUAGGACGGUGGUCAUGGAAGUCGAAAUCCGCUAAGGAGUGUGUAACAACUCACCUACCGAAUGAACUAGCCCUGAAAAUGGAUGGCGCUAAAGCGGAUUACCGAUACCAAGCCAUAAAAGGAUAAGAAAAAGGGGAAUUAUAGCAAUAUGUUUCCUUUUUUUUAGAAUCCUUUUAUGAGUAGAAAAUCGUGGGGUUUUGUGUCGAAGCGAAAUACGUGAGUUUUCGUGGAACAUAUCCCUAGUGCAGAUCUUGGUGGAAGUAGCAACUAUUCAAAUGAGAACUUUGAAGACUGAAGUGGAGAAGGGUUUCUUGUCAACUGUG